AACGAACGCUGGCGGCAGGCUUAACACAUGCAAGUCGAACGCUCACCUUCGGGUGGGAGUGGCAGACGGGUGAGUAACGCGGGGGAACGUACCCUUUGGUUCGGAAUAACCCAGGGAAACUUGGGCUAAUACCGGAUACGCCCUUCGGGGGAAAGGUUUACUGCCGAAGGAUCGGCCCGCGUCGGAUUAGCUAGUUGGUGGGGUAAAAGCCUACCAAGGCGACGAUCCGUAGCUGGUCUGAGAGGAUGAUCAGCCACACUGGGACUGAGACACGGCCCAGACUCCUACGGGAGGCAGCAGUGGGGAAUAUUGGACAAUGGGCGCAAGCCUGAUCCAGCCAUGCCGCGUGAGUGAAGAAGGCCUUAGGGUUGUAAAGCUCUUUCAGCGGGGAAGAUAAUGACGGUACCCGCAGAAGAAGCCCCGGCUAACUUCGUGCCAGCAGCCGCGGUAAUACGAAGGGGGCUAGCGUUGUUCGGAAUUACUGGGCGUAAAGCGCGCGUAGGCGGGUGAUUAAGUCAGGGGUGAAAUGCCGAGGCUCAACCUCGGAACUGCCUUUGAUACUGGUCGCCUGGAGUUCGGGAGAGGUAAGUGGAAUUCCGAGUGUAGAGGUGAAAUUCGUAGAUAUUCGGAGGAACACCAGAACCGAAGGCGGCUUACUGGCCC
rnacentral:rRNA from 1 species